GUGUCAGCAGCCGCGGUAAUACAGAGGGGGCAAGCGUUGUUCGGAAUUACUGGGCGUAAAGGGCGCGUAGGUGGCCUUCUAAGUUGAACGUGAAAUCCCUGGGCUCAACCCAGGAACUGCGUCCAAGACUGGGAGGCUUGAAUCCGGGAGAGGGAUGCGGAAUUCCAGGUGUAGCGGUGAAAUGCGUAGAUAUCUGGAGGAACACCGGUGGCGAAGGCGGCAUCCUGGACCGGUAUUGACACUGAGGCGCGAAAGCCAGGGGAGCAAACGGGAUUAGAUACCCCGGUAGUCC
rnacentral:rRNA from 1 species